rnacentral:rRNA from 1 species
AUUGAACGCUGGCGGCAUGCCUUACACAUGCAAGUCGAACGGUAACGCGGGGCAACCUGGCGACGAGUGGCGAACGGGUGAGUAAUGCAUCGGAACGUGCCCAGUAGUGGGGGAUAGCCCGGCGAAAGCCGGAUUAAUACCGCAUAUGACCUACGGGGGAAAGCGGGGGAUCGCAAGACCUCGCGCUAUUGGAGCGGCCGAUGUCAGAUUAGGUUGUUGGUGAGGUAAAGGCUCACCAAGCCGACGAUCUGUAGCUGGUCUGAGAGGACGACCAGCCACACUGGGACUGAGACACGGCCCAGACUCCUACGGGAGGCAGCAGUGGGGAAUUUUGGACAAUGGGCGCAAGCCUGAUCCAGCCAUGCCGCGUGCGGGAAGAAGGCCUUCGGGUUGUAAACCGCUUUUGUCGGGGAAGAAAUCUUCUGGGCUAAUACCCCGGAAGGAUGACGGUACCCGAAGAAUAAGCACCGGCUAACUACGUGCCAGCCGCCGCCGUAAAAC